AAAGGCAUCCUGGGAAUGAAUUAUUAAAGAAAUACGGAAUAAAACUGUGCUACGUAUCUCUUCACAUGUGAGUCCGCGUGACCUCUUCACACGGAGGCUAUAUAAUGGUCGGUAUCGUGAAUACAGUUUUAGAGGUGUCUAUUGAGUCUUUUGAUUUACAACUUAACUGCUCAAACGCGCAAUGAUUCGAAAUUUGGCGUUAUUGUUGGUUGUGUCAGUGUGCGGGUGUCGGGCUCUUAGUACAGUGGAGACCUUGGCGAGCGACCCAAACUUCUCUUCUCUCGUCUCCGCAUUGACACAGGCAGGCCUCAUAGACACGCUUAACCAAGGAGUGUUUACAAUUUUCGCCCCGAGCAACUUUUAUUUUGAGACCCUUAAAUACAUCGAUCCGCAUGGUCUGCUAACAGACGCCGCUCUCUUCAAAAGUGUCCUACUUUAUCACGUGGUUGCGGGUCGAGUGAUGCGAGCAAAUAUGACCAACGAACACACCGUGACCUCUGUUCAGGGAAAGCCAAUCAGAUUUAACACCUACCAACACAACCAUGUCACAACAGCCCAAGGAUAUCAAAUAAUUUUUUUCGACAAGACCGCUGAUAAUGGGGUCAUCCACGUUAUCACCAACAUCAUGAUGCCGCCAAAGGGCGACAUUGUCAACAUCGUAUCAAACGAUAACGAGACAAGCACGCUGCUUUCAUUUGCUGUCACAGCAGGCAUCGUAGGAGCUCUUCAAGGUGACGGUCUGACGUUACUCGCUCCGACUAACGCAGCCUUCAGCCAACUUCCGAACGCCACUUUGUCUCAGCUUACCGGAAAUGUCGCUCUUCUGACUGAGGGUUUUGGUACACUGUAACUACAAGAAUAACUGCAGAUUCCUAAUAUCCACGCAGAGUUGUCGUUCCUUGCUCUCACAUCCAAUUUCUGCCAUGACAAGAAAGUCCUUACAUAUUUGAGGUGUUGAAGUAUCACGUGGUCCCUCACACCGAACACUUAGUGGGCCUUUUCGAUGGGGCUCGGCUACACACUCUGGAUGGGAAUGAGAUUAUCUCCGUUCACAUGAACAUUACUUGGGACUCCGUGCGUUUCAAUUCGAAGUCCCACAUGACCAAGCGAGAAAGCGCGGCCACCAACGGGGUAGUAUAUUACAUCGACACCGUUCUCAUCCCGAAACGUCACGCCAAUAUUGUCGGUUAGAUGAAAUAAUCAAAUACUGAAAAUGUCUACACAUUGCUGUUAAAUAUUUUUGUGCGUGAUUUUUGUUAAACAAAUACACGUUUAUUCUUAUAA